UGGGCGUAAGGGCUCGCAGGCGGUUUCUUAAGUCUGAUGUGAAAGCCCCCGGCUCAACCGGGGAGGGUCAUUGGAAACUGGGGAACUUGAGUGCAGAAGAGGAGAGUGGAAUUCCACGUGUAGCGGUGAAAUGCGUAGAGAUGUGGAGGAACACCAGUGGCGAAGGCGACUCUCUGGUCUGUAACUGACGCUGAGGAGCGAAAGCGUGGGGAGCGAACAGGAUUAGAUACCCUGGUAGUCCACGCCGUAAACGAUGAGUGCUAAGUGUUAGGGGGUUUCCGCCCCUUAGUGCUGCAGCUAACGCAUUAAGCACUCCGCCUGGGGAGUACGGUCGCAAGACUGAAACUCAAAGGAAUUGACGGCGGCCCGCACAAGCGGUGGAGCAUGUGGUUUAAUUCGAAGCAACGCGAAGAACCUUACCAGGUCUUGACAUCCUCGGACAAUCCUAGAUAUCCGACGUCCCCUUCGGGCGCAGAGUGACAGGUGGCGCAUGUUUCUCCUCAUCUCGUGUCGUGAUAUG
rnacentral:rRNA from 1 species